rnacentral:rRNA from 1 species
GAUGAACGCUGGCGGCGUGCCUAAUACAUGCAAGUCGAGCGAACGGACGAGAAGCUUGCUCCUCUGAUGUUAGCGGCGGACGGGUGAGUAACACGUGGAUAACCUACCUAUAAGACUGGGAUAACUUCGGGAAACCGGAGCUAAUACCGGAUAAUAUUUUGAACCGCAUGGUUCAAAAGUGAAAGACGGUCUUGCUGUCACUUAUAGAUGGAUCCGCGCUGCAUUAGCUAGUUGGUAAGGUAACGGCUUACCAAGGCAACGAUGCAUAGCCGACCUGAGAGGGUGAUCGGCCACACUGGAACUGAGACACGGUCCAGACUCCUACGGGAGGCAGCAGUAGGGAAUCUUCCGCAGUGGGCGAAAGCCUGACGGAGCAACGCCGCGUGAGUGAUGAAGGUCUUCGGAUCGUAAAACUCUGUUAUUAGGGAAGAACAUAUGUGUAAGUAACUGUGCACAUCUUGACGGUACCUAAUCAGAAAGCCACGGCUAACUACGUG